AAAAAAAGGAAGAAAUAUAAUAUGGUUAUGAGACCAAUAUUGCAUUGUGUGUGUAUAUAUAUAUAUAUAUAGAGUGAGAUUACUAUGCUAUCGGAAGCACGGAGUCUUCCGUGCUUCCAGCUCGUUUUCGAUGUUGCAGCUUUCGAAUCGUCGAUCGGCUCCGUUAAACUUGAUCUAGAGUAUUUGAAGUACCUAAAAAAUAAAUUUUAUGAUUUUACGAUAUCAUUUGCCUAGUGAACGAAGAGGCUCAAAAUCAACGGCUGAAAAUAAAAAUCUUACAAAAUGUAAUAAUAUGACAUUAAAAUUUUAAAUCAAAGAUAUUGAUCUUGUUUUAUAUAGUAUAAAAAAUUUUCUAUCAAAAUUUCACGUGAUUUGGAUAUUUCUACACCGUUAAACUUGCAAACGGCUCACUACGGCCAUUAAAAUUAUUUGAUUUUGAGCCCCUUCGAUCACUAGGCAAAUGAUAUUGAAAAAUCAUAAAAUUUAUUUUCUAAGUACUUCAAAUACUCUAGAUCAAGUU
rnacentral:lncRNA from 1 species